rnacentral:rRNA from 1 species
UACGAAGGGGGCUAGCGUUGUUCGGAUUUACUGGGCGUAAAGCGCACGUAGGCGGAUUGGUCAGUUAGGGGUGAAAUCCUGGAGCUCAACUCCAGAACUGCCUUUAAUACUGCCAGUCUCGAGUCCGGAAGAGGUAAGUGGAACUCCUAGUGUAGAGGUGGAAUUCGUAGAUAUUAGGAAGAACACCGGUGGCGAAAGCGCUCUACUGGGCCAAGGCUGACACUGAGGGAUGAAAGCUGGGGGAGCAAAUAGG